rnacentral:rRNA from 1 species
UACGUAGGGUGCGUGCGUUAAUCGGAAUUACUGGGCGUAAAGCGUGCGCAGGCGGUUUGUUGUGUCGGCGGUGAAAGCCCCGGGCUCAACCUGGGAAUGGCCGUUGAAACUGGCGAACUGGAGUGUGGCAGAGGGGGGUGGAAUUCCGCGUGUAGCAGUGAAAUGCGUAGAGAUGCGGAGGAACACCGAUGGCGAAGGCAGCCCCCUGGGCUGACACUGACGCUCAGGCACGAAAGCGUGGGGAGCAAACAGG